CAUAACUCAUUUAGAGAGUGUCCUGGUGAAGGGAAGUUUUGGGCCCACUUCUUGUGCAAGAGUGGUUAAAAGGUAGAUCCCAAUUUGUCGUACAUCUCCAAUGAUGCUAUACCAGCUAGGAAUCUACAAUUUCCCCAUCCUUGCAGGGUUUGUAUUUGUAAGCAUGCUUUUGCAUAGGGUAUAUGUGUGCAUGUAGCGGUGUAUUUGUAUGUACUGUUGCCAUUGCAUUGCAGUGGUGUACUUGUGUGUAGUGUUUGUGUUAAAUGCAGGGGUCUGUUUGUACGUAGUGUUGACUUUCAAAUGCAGGUAUGCCUGUGUGUAGUAUUGGAGUUUAAAUGAAGGGAUCUUUCUAUCUAAUUUUAGUGUUUUAAUACACGGGUGUGUUUGUAUGUAAUAUUUGCAUUUGAUUGCAGGGCUGUGUUUGGAUGUAAUGUCUUUUAAAUGGGAAUCAUUUAAACUAGAUCAACAACAGUCUGUUCUAGGGGAAUAUUUGACAGUAAGCUCCAGAAGC